UGAAUGAAGACGGUACUUAGCACUUUUUAGGAGGCAACCCAAAUUUUUUUACUUUAUUUUAACUGAUCUUUAUUUUUUUAAGAAUAAUAGGCCAUUCUGUGUGGAAGCACCUAUCAAUAAAUAUGGUCCGACUGAAGACUUAAAAUUUAGUGCUUUGUGGGAGGCAACUCAGUUCCAGCUUUUGCUUUUACUUUCUUUUGUAUUUUAAUUGAGUCUUGCUUCG
rnacentral:lncRNA from 1 species